rnacentral:tRNA from 1 species
GGGGAUGUAGCUUAGCGGGAAAGCGCCUGCCUUGCACGCAGGAGACCGGCGGUUCGAAUCCGCUCAUCUCCACCA